rnacentral:rRNA from 1 species
CGUUAGCGGCGGACGGGUGAGUAACGCGUGGACAACCUGCCCUAUGCGAGGGGGAUAACAUCCGGAAACGGGUGCUAAUACCGCAUAAGCGCACAGUACCGCAUGGUACGGUGUGAAAAGCUGAGGCGGCAUAGGAUGGGUCCGCGUUGGAUUAGGCAGUUGGCGGGGUAACGGCCCACCAAACCGACGAUCCAUAGCCGGCCUGAGAGGGUGGACGGCCACAUUGGGACUGAGACACGGCCCAGACUCCUACGGGAGGCAGCAG